rnacentral:rRNA from 1 species
AGUAGGUGGGGUAACGGCUCACCUAGGCGACGAUCCCUAGCUGGUCUGAGAGGAUGACCAGCCACACUGGAACUGAGACACGGUCCAGACUCCUACGGGAGGCAGCAGUGGGGAAUAUUGCACAAUGGGCGCAAGCCUGAUGCAGCCAUGCCGCGUGUAUGAAGAAGGCCUUCGGGUUGUAAAGUACUUUCAGCGGGGAGGAAGGGAGUAAAGUUAAUACCUUUGCUCAUUGACGUUACCCGCAGAAGAAGCACCGGCUAACUCCGUGCCAGCAGCCGCGGUAAUACGGAGGGUGCAAGCGUUAAUCGGAAUUACUGGGCGUAAAGCGCACGCAGGCGGUUUGUUAAGUCAGAUGUGAAAUCCCCGGGCUCAACCUGGGAACUGCAUCUGAUACUGGCAAGCUUGAGUCUCGUAGAGGGGGGUAGAAUUCCAGGUGUAGCGGUGAAGUGCGUAGAGAUCUGGAGGAAUACCGGUGGCGAAGGCGGCCCCCUGGACGAAGACUGACGCUCAGGUGCGAAAGCGUGGGGAGCAAACAGGAUUAGAUACCCUGGUAGUCCACGCCGUAAACGAUGUCGACUUGGAGGUUGUGCCCUUGAGGCGUGGCUUCCGGAGCUAACGCGUUAAGUCGACCGCCUGGGGAGUACGGCCGCAAGGUUAAAACUCAAAUGAAUUGACGGGGGCCCGCACAAGCGGUGGAGCAUGUGGUUUAAUUCGAUGCAACGCGAAGAACCUUACCUGGUCUUGACAUCCACGGAAGUUUUCAGAGAUGAGAAUGUGCCUUCGGGAACCGUGAGACAGGUGCUGCAUGGCUGUCGUCAGCUCGUGUUGUGAAAUGUUGGGUUAAGUCCCGCAACGAGCGCAACCCUUAUCCUUUGUUGCCAGCGGUCCGGCCGGGAACUCAAAGGAGACUGCCAGUGAUAAACUGGAGGAAGGUGGGGAUGACGUCAA